AUAAUAACCUCAAGCAUAUGACGUAUACAAACUUGUAACAUCGUUUGAUAUUGUACUUACUUAAACUUUUUUCCUCUAGUUUUGCGACUGUCGAAUGGUAAAAUUUCCUUUUUUCCAUUCCUUCACUUUCGUCGCUGGCGGCAUGAACCCUACAAGGGAGACAAGUGGGCUCGCGUGAGGUUUCCUGUCACCUUUCCAAUCUCACCUCUCGCAGUCUCACUCCUGGGACCAACUGAGGCUGUCUCAGCCCUCCCCUGGGCGGGGCCAAUAGCGAGGAACCGGAUUCCCAACCCCUCCUUCGUCGGCGCCCCCACCUCCAGUGCGUCUCCAAGGAGACGCCCACGACGCGGGGCGAGGAUCAACCCCUCCCACCUCAGCACUCUACCUCCCUUGCGUCUCCGAGGAGACGCCCACGACGGUGGGCCGGGGCGGCGAGUGGGGAAUGGGGUCGUAUUGGCGGGGUAACGCGGGCGACGCUUUACGGCAAUGGUGAGCAGGGUCGCAGUCGAACCUCGCCAGCUAUCGCGCGAAGCUCAGAGAGAACCGGUUUUUUUCCCGCUGGAGCGUGGCCUCAGCCACGUUGCUCCACUCAGUCUCCUUUGUGUCCUUUCCCUGGGGCAACGCGGGGUGACGCGGGGCCGGGACCAGCACCCCUCUGGCCGGAGGGACCCUCCCCAUCCUCUAACGUCUGAGCAGCCUGUACCCUGCGUGCAAGGCCUUCCCCAGCAGGAUCCAGAGGCAGGACCAGGAGUUCAGUUCACUUCAGUCGCUCUUUGAGACCCCAUGAACUGUAGCACACCAGGCCUCCCUGUCCAUCACCAACUCCUGGAGACUGCCCAAACUUAUGUCCAUCGAGCUGGUAAUGCCAUCCAACCAUCACAUCCUC
rnacentral:lncRNA from 1 species